UACGUAGGGGGCAAGCGUUGUUCGGAAUUACUGGGCGUAAAGGGCGCGUAGGCGGUGCGGCAAGUCGGGAGUGAAAUCUCUGGGCUCAACCCAGAGGCUGCUUCCGAAACUGCUGUGCUUGAGUGUGGGAGAGGCGCGUGGAAUUGCAGGUGUAGCGGUGAAAUGCGUAGAUAUCUGCAGGAACACCCGUGGCGAAAGCGGCGCGCUGGACCACUACUGACGCUGAAGAACGAAAGCUAGGGGAGCAAACAGG
rnacentral:rRNA from 1 species